ACCCGCUGAAUUUAAGCAUAUAAGUAGGCGGAGGACGAGGAACCAACAAGGACUCCCCAAGUAACGGUGAAUGAAUCGGGAUAGGCUCAGUGUGAGAAUCGGAGCAUCUGGCUCUGAAUUGUAGUCUUGAGAUGGGCAGCCAACGGAGGUGCAGCUGUAGGCCCUUGGAAAAGAGCAACGAUGAGGGUGAGAAUCCUGCGUGUCAGCUGCAGCCCUCAGUGCACGGUGCAUCUUCUAAGAGUCGCAUUCCUUGGGAUUGGUGCGUGAAGCGGGUGGUAAAUUUCAUCCAAAGCUAAACAUGUUUCUGAGACUGAUAGCGAACAAGUACCACAAGGGAAAGGUGAAAAAGGAUUUUGACAAGAUAAAUAAACAAUGCCUAAACUUGCUGAAAAGGAAUUGAGGGGAACUACUGAAACUGUGGAAGAUUGUUGCGUGUGCUUCUGCCGCCUGUAGUGUCUACGCAAGUGUGGCUGCGGAAUCUCGGCAGGGCGCGCGCGGCGCUUCUUCCCCUGUCAAUCAGUGUAACAGCAGGAACCUGGUACUCUGUCGCUAGGUAGAUGAGUGUGCUUGUCCACACUUGUGCAUGUACUCAUUGGUGACUACAUGGUGCCACUCACCCCGUCUUGAAACACGGAUCAAGGAGUCUAACAUGCGUGCAAGUUCAUAGGUGGUAAAACCUUCUCGCGCAAAGAAAUUGUUGGCAGGGAUUGAUGCACCAACAACCGAUCACUCGAUUGAGGGCGACCAGAGUAUGAACAUGCCUGUUAGGACCAGUUCAUUGCACAAGGGUCCGAAAGAUGGUGAACUAUAACUGUGGAGGGCCAACUCAGGGGAAACUCUGAUGGAGGCCUGCAACGAUACUAACGUGCAAAUUGUUCGCUCUACAUGGGUAUAGGGGUGAAAGACUAAUCGAAUCAUCUAGUAGCUGGUUCCCCCCGAAGUUUCCCUCAGGAUAGCUAGAGCUGAACAGUUUUAUCAGGUAAAGCAAAUGAUUAGAGGAUUUGGGGGCCUGGCGCCCUUGACCUAUUCUCAAACUCUAAAUAGGUAAGGCCCAGUCAUUACAUGUAUGAUCUUCCAGGGUAAGUGACAGCUCUAAGUGGGCCAUUCUUGGUAAGCAGAACUGGCGAUGAGGGAUGAACCUAAUGUUGGGAAAAGGUGCCUAAUUGCUCACUCAUCAGAUACCAUAAAGGGUGUUGGUUCAUAUUGACAGCAGGACGGUGGUCAUGGAAGUUGAAAUCCGCUGAGGAGUGUGUAAUAACUCACCUGCCGAAUGGACUAGUCCCGAAAAUGGAUAGCGCUCAAGUGGGUGUCUAAUAUCCAACCAAUGCUGCAAUUACGUUGCAUCGAUGAGUAGGAGGGCAUGGGGGUUUGUGCUGAAGCUUGAGGUGUAAGCCUGGGUGAAACAGCCCCAGGUGCAGAUCUUGGUGGUAGUAGC
rnacentral:rRNA from 1 species